CACACGACUCUCGGCAACGGAUAUCUCGGCUCUCGCAUCGAUGAAGAACGUAGCGAAAUGCGAUACCUGGUGUGAAUUGCAGAAUCCCGUGAACCAUCGAGUCUUUGAACGCAAGUUGCGCCCGAGGCCACUCGGUCGAGGGCACGCCUGCUUGGGCGUCACGC
rnacentral:rRNA from 9 species